rnacentral:lncRNA from 1 species
CUGUCUUUCUCCUCUGGAGCCCCUCAACCCCUGAUCUCACAAGAGUUUCAGUGUGUUCUGGAAAUGAAGGGCUGGGUCUUACUUAAGAAACAAAAUACUGUGUCACUAGAGGUUCAACUAUUCAGGUGUGGGCAUCUUUUCUCAAAGACCUGGAGAACCUUGUCUUGCUGGUCAGGCAACCACGGCGCUGGUGUUCUGAUACACUGCCUGAGCUCCCCCUGCCGGCCACUCUGCAGAAUUUCACCAUCUGGAUCCAAGAAGAAUCCAAUUACGCUCUGGCUUCCUCUCCACUCAUCUUUCAUCUUCCUCCUGGAUCUGCUUCUCUGGCCAGACUGCCCACGUGGUUGCCGUGUCUGCUUGGGAUCCCCAAAUAUCCGACGCCCUGCAGCUUUCCGACAGGGCAAGUGGAAUAUCCCACAAAACUUGAGGAGAAUCAGUCCCAGAGUCUUUCUUUACUCAAGGCAGUCUACAAACUACCUCUGAAAAACUACUAGACAGUGGAUAGCCCACAACCCAUAUUGUGUUCUAUCUAGACUAGCCUUUGCCCACUUCUACCAUGGAAGUGAAGUGACUUAUGAGUCAAGAGGUACAGACGGCCUUGGACGCACUGAAUAAAUACAAAUAAUGGUGAUUCAUCACAAAUCAAAGUGGCUCAUCAGUAACUGAAACUUACUUCUGAAUAAAAGGGAACAAUUUACAAACAUCAAAAAGCAAAAAAUAAAAGAGCAAUACCUUGCAGAAGAUGUCGUUGCUCCCUGUUGCUAUAAGCUAAGUAAAUUGUAGCCAUUUCCCAAAUGUACCUGGAGAAGAAAUGAUUUUGGAAGAAAUCUGCUCAGCUGCUCCAUGUUGCAGGUCAGGGCUGGCUACCACCAG